ensembl:lncRNA
CAGGGUGUAAAUGGACUCAUGUGCAGACCAGAGAUCCUUGCAAGGAAGACAGUGAAUUUAUUUACAAAAAGACAACACCAGGUGAUAAUAUGUACAUGUGCAAGUGGGGGGAAGGGAGGAGGUCCAGGGUUCCAGGGUCCGUGAGGGAAAAGGAGGGGGAUUGAACAGACUCCAAACGUUUCCAAAUUUCUCUCCUCUCUCCACCACAAGGUCGUACACGCCACACACUGGCUCGCAGGCGGGUCCAGGAAAGAUCUGUACACAGAAACUCCAGUUAGAAACAGACUGACAGAAAGAAACUCACAGAUUCUAAUUUUCUGACUGCAGGGGGACUGACACUGAUAGCUCAACGAUCCAGCGACGAGUAGCACCGUGCUCAGGAUUACGAAGAUAGGCAGCAGGUGUGGAGAUGGCAGAUCUUGAACAUGUUGCACUGUCAAUGGUGCUGCUAUGGAGAAGGUACGCAGCACCAAGUUCCUGGGUGUGCACAUCUCAGAAGAUCUCUCCUAGUCAAAAAACACAUCAUUGCUGGUCAGUAAAGCCCAACAGUGACUCUACUUUCUCCACAAACUGGGAAGAGCAAGAGCCUCAACCCCAACUAUGAGCACCGUUGAGAGUAUCUUGCCAUAGUUACAAUGGGUAGUAAGAGCAGCGGACAGGAUCGUAACUCCACUCAUCCGUCUAACAGCUUCUUCAGUUUGCUCAGGAAGGAGACUGAAGAGCCUCUUGGCCAGAACCAGCAGACUGAGAGACAGCUUCGACCAUCAGGCUGUCAGGAUGCUGAAUUCACUCCCUGCUCUCACACACGAACUGCAGACCUGCGUUCACUUCUUCCCUGUGAAACAUACAAAACUCUGACCUGCCACCAUUGCCUUUUCACUGACUGCCCCACCCCACUCGCACACAAACUUGCCCACAAUCACUAUAAUUGUGUUGGACACUGCUGUUUAAAUAAGAUUGUAUAGUAUUGUGUUGCACAUAAGGCUCCCAUUUUAUUUUUAUCUUUUUAUCUUUAUAUUGUUUUAGUGUACACUGAGGGCCAUGCGAGCAUUGCAGUUUCAAAUUCCUGUGUGUGAUUGUAAAUAUGGUCUUUGACAAUAAGGCUAACUUUGACUUUGACUUUGAUAAUGUCUCUGAUUUGAGUAGGUGGUGUUCAGCUGAAUCUCCCCAAACAAAUCAAAUGACGUACAAAUGCUUUCUUUUAUGUCAACAUGCACAAAGCCUGAAGCAAAGCCUUCAAAACUGUUUUAUAUAUUUUUAUGCAGAUGACACAGUUUUAUAUGCCAGUGGCUCUUCCUUUGAUCUGGCUAUUGCAAAUGUACAACCUGCUUUUUUUUAACGUUGGUUUUCUUAAUUUUUGAUUGUGUGGAAUACGUAAUUUUAUUUUAUAUGGUAAUAGCCGUCUAUCUUGAGAAAGAGAUGUCAAACCCAGUGACAAUACCUGUUUAAAUAAAGUAUUUAAUAAGAAUUUGUUUUUGUAUCUGAUGCCAUUGAGACCUACUGUAUGGGUUGUAUUUUAUGCUACAGAAAGUGCUCUCUGCCACCUCCAUAAAGCCAAACACUUUGGGUGGUAGCUGCUCCUCUUUUGCUGUUGUUGUCCGCUUAAAUGUCUGUUAUAUUACAUCUGUAUGUGCAAUCUGAGGUUUCAACUUGGCUCACAUAUUCUCCUGGGCUAGCGCAUUGCCCUUCAAAAGGCAAUUACUCGUUCUAAGACAGCCAGUUUGAGGUGCAGCAUGCGAUGAGACAGUAAGAGACUGUAGAGACUCAAUCGAGGGGCCACUGAUACAGCAGAUGAAGCUGACCCAGAUUCUGUGGGAAGAAGGCAAGAAGAGAGUCUCAUCUACAAAGUAAUUUCCUCUGUGAGAAAAACACUGGCUGCUUUGCCCUUAAAAUUGUCUGAUCAAAUAUUUCAGUCUGAAUGUAGGGUCGGUGUCUGGAGAAGAUGUGAUCUGCUAAGGCAUGUUAUUAAUCCUCAUUAUCUGUCUAGUGGU